UGUUAAUGGAAUAUGGGAGGCUGAAUGCCGAUUUCCCAUUGGCUGGUGAAGGUCUUUAACUGCUAGGGAAGACCAGCACAGUAAACAGGAAGUCAUCUCCAUGGCAACUGGCCAUUCAACUUAACUUUUUAACACACGAAGAGGUAAUUACCUUAUUUUUUAUUUCCAUUUUUAUAAUUUUCACAGUUUAUAAUAGCAGUGAAGACCUUCGGGUCAGGCAUUUCCUGGCUGUUAAUAACAGGCUGAUUUAAGGCCACCAAUGCUUAAACGUUGUGCCAAUUUUUUUUUUUUUAAUGAAAAGAGAGCUGUAAUUUUUUUUUUCCUUCCUGAAGUCUGUAGCAUAAAUAAAUGACAGAAUUUUAUGUUCACACACAUGGUGUUCUGAUUUCCUGCUGACGAUAACAUCAGGGAGGGGACUGAUCAUCUCGCCGGGGAUGGGGGGUGAGGGGUGAGGGGUGGGGGAGGCGGGUGGCGUGGAGGCGGGACAUGGGAGGGAAAAGCCACUGGUGGAUUCCUCUGGAUGGCAGGUUGGAAGAUGAAACCAAGGGAAGACAGGACUGAAGGCCACGCAGGGCAGGACUCAGAACCUGAGGAUGCAGGAGGCUCGGAGACCAGGGAACGUUCUGUUGGAGGCAAUCAACAAUCCUUGGGAACUCACCACAGGAGCCAGAGUCCAAGGCAGCUUCCCUGGCCUUUGCCCACCCGGGAAAAUUUGUCUUCCCUACUAGGAGGAUCAGAGCUCUCUCUGCCUGGGAAGGAGAAGCUGUCCAAAAUCGCAGAGCCUGGCUUGGAAUUGAAGUUUGGCCUUUAACCUUCGGAGAAAGAGUGAGAUUUCAAUUAUCUUAAGAAUGUGUCAGAUAAGGGAAGUGAACUCAACAAGAUAAAUAGAGGUAGAAAGAAAAGAAAUUAUACUGGAUCAGAGAAAUUGAUAUAUCGGUAGUAUUUGCUGAGCAACUACUCGGUUUAGGUGCUAUCAAGAAUAAACAAAGGCUAAAAAUUGUCUAUUCUCUAGCU
rnacentral:lncRNA from 1 species